GGACGCUGGUUCAAUUGAGUAAAUGGCAAUUUGCGGACGGCGGUUCAAUUCCGCAAAUGUUUCAGAGCGAAUUCAUGUCUACCUAGAGGCCAAAUCACACCGAAAUCACACCGAUUUGCUGGAGGCGGCAUGAAUGCUUGACCUGACGCGGGUUCAAUUCCCGCCAGCUCCACCA
rnacentral:tRNA from 1 species